rnacentral:rRNA from 1 species
UGAUCAUGGCUCAGGACGAACGCUGGCGGCGUGCCUAACACAUGCAAGUCGAACGGAGAAUUUCAAUAAGCUUGCUUAGAGAAAUUUUUAGUGGCGGACGGGUGAGUAACGCGUGGGUAACCUACCCAUAAACCCGGGACAACCCUUGGAAACGAGGGCUAAUACCGGAUAAUCUUUGGGCUUGGCAUCAAGUCUUAAGAAAAGGUGGCCUCGGAAAAUGCUACCGAUUAUGGAUGGACCCGCGUCUGAUUAGCUAGUUGGUGGGGUAAAGGCCUACCAAGGCGACGAUCAGUAGCCGGCCUGAGAGGGUGAACGGCCACACUGGGACUGAGACACGGCCCAGACUCCUACGGGAGGCAGCAGUGGGGAAUCUUCCGCAAUGGACGAAAGUCUGACGGAGCAACGCCGCGUGUAUGAUGAAGGUCUUCGGAUUGUAAAGUACUGUCUUUGGGGAAGAAUGGUGCGCUUGAAAAUAUUGAGUGCAUAUGACGGUACCCAAGGAGGAAGCCCCGGCUAACUACGUGCCAGCAGCCGCGGUAAUACGUAUGGGGCAAGCGUUGUCCGGAAUUAUUGGGCGUAAAGGGCGCGUAGCGGAUAGUUAAGUCCGGUGUGA